ensembl:misc_RNA Metazoa_SRP Metazoan signal recognition particle RNA
GCUGGGCACGGUGGCUCAUGCCUGUAAUCCCAGCACUUUGGGAGGCUGAGGUGGGUGGAUCACCUGAGGUCAGGAGUUUGAGACCAGCCUGGCCAACAUGGUGAAACCCCAUCUCUA